ensembl:misc_RNA Metazoa_SRP Metazoan signal recognition particle RNA
GCCCAGCAAACGUCCAUAGUCCCAGCAACUCGGAAGGGAGGCUGAGGCAGGAGGAUAGCUGGAGCCCAGGAGUUCCGGGCUGUAGUGCAUUAUGCCGAUUGGGCGUCCACACUAAUUUCGGCCUCAAUGUGGUGAACUCCUGGCAGCAGGGAACCACCAGGUUCUCUAAGGAUGGGUGAAUCAGCCCAGGUCAGAAAUGGAGCAGGUCAAAACUCCCAUGCUGAUUGCUAGGGAAAAAAAGCCCACAGAGAUUCCCAGGUUCAGGGAGCCUUGGAGCUCAAGUGAAACUGUAUUUCUC